rnacentral:rRNA from 1 species
UACGGGGGGGGCAAGCGUUGUUCGGAAUUACUGGGCGUAAAGGGCUCGUAGGUGGCCAACUAAGUCGGACGUGAAAUCCCUCGGCUUAACCGGGGAACUGCGUCCGAUACUGGUUGGCUUGAGUUUGGGAGAGGGAUGUAGAAUUCCAGGUGUAGCGGUGAAAUUCGUAGAUAUCGGGAGGAACACCGGUGGCGAAGGCGGCAUCCUGGACCAUUACUGACACUGAAAAGCGAAAGCCAGGGGAGCAAACGGG